rnacentral:rRNA from 1 species
AAAUGAAUUGACGGGGACCCGCACAAGCAGCGGAGCAUGUGGUUUAAUUCGAAGCAACGCGAAGAACCUUACCAGGUCUUGACAUGCCAUUGACCGUCUUAGAGAUAAGAUUUUCCCUUCGGGGACAAUGGACACAGGUGGUGCAUGGUUGUCGUCAGCUCGUGUCGUGAGAUGUUGGGUUAAGUCCCGUAACGAGCGCAACCCCUAUUUUUAGUUGCUAGCAGGUUAAGCUGAGCACUCUAAAGAGACUGCCGAUGAUAAAUCGGAGGAAGGUGGGGAUGACGUCAAAUCAUCAUGCCCUUUAUGACCUGGGCUACACACGUGCUACAAUGGUCGGUACAACGAGCAGCUACCUAGUGAUAGGAUGCUAAUCUCUUAAAGCCGAUCCCAGUUCGGAUUGUAGGCUGCAAUUCGCCUACAUGAAGUCGGAGUUGCUAGUAAUCGCGGAUCAGAAUGCCGCGGUGAAUGCGUUCCCGGGUCUUGUACACACCGCCCGU